rnacentral:rRNA from 1 species
UACACUCCUGCGGGAGGCAGCAGUGGGGAAUAUUGGACAAUGGGCGCAAGCCUGAUCCAGCCAUGCCGCAUGAGUGAUGAAGGCCCUAGGGUUGUAAAGCUCUUUUGUGCGGGAAGAUAAUGACGGUACCGCAAGAAUAAGCCCCGGCUAACUUCGUGCCAGCAGCCGCGGUAAUACGAAGGGGGCUAGCGUUGCUCGGAAUCACUGGGCGUAAAGGGUGCGUAGGCGGGUCUUUAAGUCAGGGGUGAAAUCCUGGAGCUCAACUCCAGAACUGCCUUUGAUACUGAAGAUCUUGAGUUCGGGAGAGGUGAGUGGAACUGCGAGUGUAGAGGUGAAAUUCGUAGAUAUUCGCAAGAACACCAGUGGCGAAGGCGGCUCACUGGCCCGAUACUGACGCUGAGGCACGAAAGCGUGGGGAGCAAACAGGAUUAGAUACCCCAGUAGUCCC